rnacentral:rRNA from 1 species
UACAGAGACUGCGAGCGUUAUUCGGAUUCACUGGGCGUAAAGGGUGCGCAGGCGGCCAAGUGUGUGAGGCGUGAAAGCCUGGGGCUUAACUCCAGAAUUGCACCUCAAACUACAUGGCUAGAGCAUUGGAGAGGGUAGCAGAAUUCACGGUGUAGCAGUGAAAUGCGUAGAUAUCCGGAAGAACACCUGAGGCGAAGGCGGCUUGCUGGGCAUGAUCUGACGCUGAGGCGCGAAAGCGUGGGGAGCAAACAGG